CAGCCGCCACGGGAAUACGAAGGGUGCAAGCGUUACUCGUAAUUACUGGGCGUAAAGCGUGCGUAGGUGGUGGUUUAAGUCCGUUGUGAAAGCCCUGGGCUCAACCUGGGAAUUGCAGUGGAUACCGGAUCACUAGAGUGUGGUAGAGGAUAGUGGAAUUUCCGGUGUAGCAGUGAAAUGCGUAGAGAUCGGAAGGAACAUCUGUGGCGAAGGCGACUAUCUGGGCCAACACUGACACUGAGGCACGAAAGCGUGGGGAGCAAACAGGAUUAGAUACCCGAGUAGUCCCUGUCUCUUAUAA
rnacentral:rRNA from 1 species